rnacentral:tRNA from 2 species
GGACACUUAGCUCAGCCGGUUAGAGCGUCGCCCUCACAUGGCGAAGGUCGGAGGUUCGAUCCCCCCAGUGUCCA